rnacentral:lncRNA from 1 species
UUUUUCCCCACCUAGUUUUUAGUAAAUAAAUAAAUAGGUUUUAAUUCUACAAUUUCUAAACUUAACAAGAACCAAGUCCUUGGAUUGAUCCCUAGUCAGCCCUAUAUUACAUUAGUGGGGAUUAGGUUUGUUGACUUUUGUGCGAUCAAAAGCCUUUCAACACACAACGCUAAACAACUUACAAGUCAAAGUGUUGAAAGAGACUUAUGUUGAACACGUAAUCUAUAUUGUACCUAAUGGUAUUCAGUUGAACUCUUAAAAAGCAAAAAGAUUUCGAGACAGUGUCUCUAACCAAACCCUCUAAAGGACUUAAACAAAGAUUGAAAACUUAUAAAAUAA